AGUCAGGAGGAAAUAUAUCCAAACCUGGAGAAUAAGAAAUAUCCUUAUAGAAAUGGGCCUGGUGGUUGGGUCUAGACAAAUAAGUUGGGCACUGGCUUGUGACUGUUAGAGAAGGGGAGGGCAAGUAAUAGUGAGUUCUGAGAACACUGUUCAGGAAAUUGUGAAGCAUGUGAUGAAAACAAUGAGUUAUUCAGUGUGACUGUACUGCAGAGUACAAGAAAGAAUAAGUGGGCAUCAAGGUGGCAGAUGAAGGUUAAGGCUAGCUUCAGAAUUCACUGUGAGAACCCAAAACAGGAAGGGCACAUAAGGUGGAUGAAGAGGGGAAAUGAAUCCUCAUAGCAAGGCUCAAGUUUCUCUGUACUGACCCUGAGCUCUCAUGUAGCCUGUCCUUAUCCCUUCUGGUAAUAGAACAGUCCAAAUGAAUUUUUCUCUUCAUUCAGUUGUACCUUACUUGUACAAGGCACAUUCCGUUUCUAGGGAAAGACUUCACCAUGGCAACAGGCAAGCAUGGUCUGGUACCACAGUAAAGUGCUUCUUUCUGGCUCAAAAGAACAGGAUCUCUGCUAGGUGGCUACCAUCAAGAUCUGAAUUUCUUCCUGGGUCAGUUGGAACAGGUUGCCUUCAGGAUAAGAAGCUAACAACCAAGGUGGGGAAUUGGUGAUUAUUGCCGCAUCACAGCACAUCCCAGUCUGUAGGAAGAGGGUGAUGCAGUCUUGCCAGACUUCUUCACUGAUAUCCCCUAUGCACUGCAUGAUUCAGGUAAGCUGUCUCUAAAUGAUGAAUAAAGUGAUUUCUGGCAAGUAGGUCUUCAAAAGAAGUUUGUUGGUAGUUGGCUCAAGAUGAGACUGAAAUAAGCUAAAAAUAUAGUCUGUUUCUGAUGGCCUCUCCCCAGCAGCACAGUGGAGGAGGUCUUGAUGACUUGUGUGAAGUUAUGCCCCAGCUGCCCUCUGUUGCGACUUAUCAAGCUAUCUUUGGAGCAGGAGUGAGGUCACAAAGGCUUUGUGACUUGUUAAACAGUCAUAAUUCACCACAUCAUGGGUGACCUUUGGCAGUAGCUUUCAGUGGUUGUAUCUCCAGCUAGUGAGAUAUUGGGACAAAGCACAUCUACUUACUUCCCUAGGAUACCAUGGGAGAAACACCAACCCCCAACAUCAGAAAAUCCCUCAAUGUAGAAUAUAACUGAGUAAUAUUUGAGUUGGAGGUUUGGAUAUAAAGCAGGACAAGUGAGAUUUAGUGCAGCAACUAGUAUGCAGAUGUUGGCUAAUCUGAGACCUGAGCUCUAGGUACAAAGUAAAAAAAACCCCACGGCCCCACUGGCUUACACCUCUUUUUGGAUGGACAUAAUAGCGUCCUAAUGAUUUUCUGUCUUCAGAUUUUUUCCAUCUAGUUGUUUAUCCUCUGGCCCACACCAGCUGUGAGUCUAGAGUAAUUCGUUUUCAUCUAGUCAUUCAGCAAGCAUUUAUCAAGCAGUUACUAUCUGCCAAGUACUUUUCCAAGCACUGGUUUAUAGCAGUGAACAGAGAAAAAUCUCACAGAGCUGACAUCAUAAUGGUAGAAGACAAAAAAAUAAUAAAUGAUAAUAGAAUCCCUUUCACAGAAUUUUUUUAUGAAUCUAAUACUUUUUCUUUCCACAUAUUCCUUCUUAGUCCCAGGUGCUAUCUACCUCUGUGGGGGUCCAAUCUGACAUGAUUAUUCUGAAACCUUUGACAAAUCACCAUCUCCACCUUAAUUUCCUCUGAAAUGACCCUAACUUGCCUUAAGUAGGGACUGUUAGGAAGAAUGGCUAAAGUUAAUGGAGAGAAAAUUUGGGGUAGUUUAGAAAAUUUACUUAUUCAACAAAUAUUUAUUGAAUACCUACUGUGUUCCAGGUCUGUUCCAGACUCUGAAGAUCUAUCAGUGAACAAAAAGUCCCUGGCCUCAUGAAGCUGACAUCCUAGAGGGGAGACAAAUAACUGACAAGGACAUUUAUAGUAUAUCAGGUGGUGUUCACAAUUAUUAAUAUAAAGAACAAAAGCUAAGACAAUAGAGAAUUCUGGGGAAGAAUUAGUGGUGGUUUUAUUUGAUAUAAAGUGCUCAAGUAGGAUUAUCUGACAUUGUGAAUUUGACCAGAGACCCAACAGAGAUGAGGGAGUGAGCAUAUGGAUAUCUGAGGGAAGAGCAUUCUAGGCAAAGGGAACAGCAAGUGCUUCUGAGACAGGAGAAGGUAUGGUAUAU
rnacentral:lncRNA from 1 species